ACUGGAGGACCAAGAAGGCUGAGUCUGAUGGAGUAAGACUUUGCGGAUAUACUCCUCCUAGACAAAGGGGUGGAGAGAACCACAGGGCUGACUGUACUACCCAACAUUU